UACCAGCACCCCGAGUGGUCGGGACGAUUAUUGGGCCUAAAGCAUCAGUAGCCGGUCCUACAAGUCUUCCGUUAAAUCCACCUGCUUAACAGAUGGGCUGCGGAAGAUACUAUAGGGCUAGGAGGCGGGAGAGGCAAGCGGUACUCAGUGGGUAGGGGUAAAAUCCUCUGAUCCAUUGAAGACCACCAGUGGCGAAGGCGGCUUGCCAGAACGCGCUCGACGGUGAGGGAUGAAAGCUGGGGGAGCAAACAGG
rnacentral:rRNA from 1 species